ACGGAAGGCAGCAGUGGGGAAUAUUGGACAAUGGGGGAAACCCUGAUCCAGCGACGCCGCGUGAGUGAAGAAGUAUUUCGGUAUGUAAAGCUCUAUCAGCAAGGAAGAAAAUGACGGUACUUGACUAAGAAGCUCCGGCUAAAUACGUGCCAGCAGCCGCGGUAAUACGUAUGGAGCAAGCGUUAUCCGGAUUUACUGGGUGUAAAGGGAGCGUAGACGGGACAGCAAGUCUGAUGUGAAAUGCGGGGGCUCAACCCCUGAACUGCAUUGGAAACUGUUGACCUUGAGUGCCGGAGAGGUAAGCGGAAUUCCUAGUGUAGCGGUGAAAUGCGUAGAUAUUAGGAGGAACACCAGUGGCGAAGGCGGCUUACUGGACGGUAACUGACGUUGAGGCUCGAAAGCGUGGGGAGCAAACAGGAUUAGAUACCCUGGUA
rnacentral:rRNA from 1 species